AUUGAGACCGCUCAUUCAACAAGCAUAUGACAUUUACCUUCGCACGAGGGAAUGGAAAAAUCGGCUUUCAUUUGGGAUCAUGUUGUAAAUCGAUAAAAUCCUAAAUUUUCCAGUGGUGUUGGAUUUAAGCAUUCCUGUGAGAAUCGUUGUAAAAUUUCAAGCGAUCGGUGCUGGAAAUCGGUCUGAUGAACAAACACGGGCUGUCAAGGACGGGACGUGAGAAAAUUCCCACCUGGUGUCACUGCAGGGAUGUAAGCAGUAAAAUGAUGGCCAUUGCAUUGUACUGAAAGACAGGCACAUUUUCCACAGAGUUCUUAGCAAUUGUUUUAACAAAAAGAUAUAGAGGAUGUCAUAUGGCCGCACGGAGAUACGAAUUUCGAGUGUUGAAAUGGGCGAAGAGAACGAGUGAAAUAUCUUUUCAACACUCAAAUAUGAUAUUCUGUUUAUUAUUACACAAAUUAAAUACGAAAUCAAAGGCA